rnacentral:lncRNA from 1 species
GCAUGAGGUAGAAGAUAAAUCUUCAUUUAGGUACCUCUAUUGUGUCAUAGAAUUCAUGUAGGAGGUAGGAAAAACAAGCUUCCAUUUAGGUACCUCUUAUGAAACAUCUACACUAUGAGAAAUCAUCAAGAGAUGUGGGGAUUUUAUGUUGGACAACCCAAGUUAGUCCACAAUCACACCUUUAUCAAGCUUGAAGCUUGAACACCACUUGUGGGUCAAAAACCCUAAAC